rnacentral:rRNA from 1 species
GGACCCGCACAAGCAGUGGAGUAUGUGGUUUAAUUCGACGCAACGCGAAGAACCUUACCAGGACUUGACAUCCUGCCAACGAAGCAGAGAUGCAUUAGGUGCCCUUCGGGGAAAGCAGAGACAGGUGGUGCAUGGUUGUCGUCAGCUCGUGUCGUGAGAUGUUGGGUUAAGUCCCGCAACGAGCGCAACCCUUAUUGUCAGUUGAUACAUUUAGUUGAUCACUCUGGCGAGACUGCCGUUGACAAAACGGAGGAAGGUGGGGACGACGUCAAAUCAUCAUGCCCUUUAUGUCCUGGGCUACACACGUACUACAAUGGCGAAGAACAGAGGGAUGCAAAGCCGCGAGGCAGAGCGAAACCCUAAAAUUCGUCUCAGUUCAGAUUGCAGGCUGAAACCCGCCUGCAUGAAGGUGGAAUUGCUAGUAAUCGCGGAUCAGCAUGCCGCGGUGAAUACGUUCCCGGGUCUU